CCUACGGGAGGCAGCAGUGGGGAAUAUUGCACAAUGGGCGAAAGCCUGAUGCAGCAACGCCGCGUGAAGGAUGAAGGGUUUCGGCUCGUAAACUUCUAUCAAUAGGGAAGAAAGAAAUGACGGUACCUAAAUAAGAAGCCCCGGCUAACUGCGUGCCAGCAGCCGCGGUAAUACGUAGGGGGCAAGCGUUAUCCGGAAUUACUGGGUGUAAAGGGAGCGUAGGCGGCAUGGUAAGCCAGAUGUGAAAGCCUUGGGCUUAACCCGAGGAUUGCAUUUGGAACUAUCAAGCUAGAGUACAGGAGAGGAAAGCGGAAUUCCUAGUGUAGCGGUGAAAUGCGUAGAUAUUAGGAAGAACACCAGUGGCGAAGGUGGCUUUCUGGACUGAAACUGACGCUGAGGCUCGAAAGCGUGGGGAGCAAACAGGAUUAGAUACCCGGGUAGUC
rnacentral:rRNA from 1 species